GAUCAUGGCUCAGGAUGAACGCUGGCGGCGUGCUUAACACAUGCAAGUCGAACGAGAAAUGGAGACGGAAACCUUCGGGCGGAAGACUUCAUUUCGAGUGGCGGACGGGUGAGUAACGCGUGGGUAACCUGCCUCAUACAGGGGGAUAACAGUUGGAAACGACUGUUAAUACCGCAUAAGACCACAGCACCGCAUGGUGCGGGGGUAAAAACUCCGGUGGUAUGAGAUGGACCCGCGUUCGAUUAGCCAGUUGGG
rnacentral:rRNA from 1 species